CAGCAGCCGCCGCGGGAAUACGGAGGGUGCAAGCGUUAAUCGGAAUUACUGGGCGUAAAGCGCACGCAGGCGGUCUGACAAGUCAGAUGUGAAAUCCCCGGGCUUAACCUGGGAACUGCAUUUGAAACUGUCAGGCUGGAGUCUUGUAGAGGGGGGUGGAAUUCCAGGUGUAGCGGUGAAAUGCGUAGAGAUCUGGAGGAAUACCGGUGGCGAAGGCGGCCCCCUGGACAAAGACUGACGCUCAGGUGCGAAAGCGUGGGGAGCAAACAGGAUUAGAUACCCCUGUAGUCCCUGUCUCUUAUAC
rnacentral:rRNA from 1 species